UACAGAGGGGGCAAGCGUUGUUCGGAAUUACUGGGCGUAAAGGGCGCGUAGGCGGCCUGUUAAGUCGAACGUGAAAUCCCCGGGCUCAACCCCGGGCCUGCAGCCGAUACGGGCGAGCUAGAAUUCGGUAGGGGAGACUGGAAUUCCUGGUGUAGCGGUGAAAUGCGCAGAUAUCAGGAGGAACACCGGUGGCGAAGGCGGGUCUCUGGGCCGAUAUUGACGCUGAGGAGCGAAAGCGUGGGGAGCGAACAGG
rnacentral:rRNA from 1 species